CUAUCUGAUCUGUACUUUCAGUGAUGUUCAUGAAAACAUGUUGGUGUACUCAGUGUGACUCAUCAGAUGUCUUCAACACUAGACACAGGGUUUAGCGAUGAGACUGUUUCAGCUGCAAAAGCAAAAUAUUUGUUCCUCUCCUGUAAAUCUCAUGGAAAUGUCACCAAAAUGGCAACAGAGGAGGUUCCUGUGCUUUGCUCCAAGAGGAACAACUAAGAAUUAACAGUGAAGACAUGACAGUGAGAAGCAUCACAGCUCAAGGUGGACAGAAGCGCCCUCUUAUACCCCCAGAAAACAGCACGGCUUACACCAGAGGGGAACUGGAGGACACUGAUGGUUCCUUGGAGAGAAGAGACACAGAGGAGCUGAUCUUCUUCAGGGAGGCCCUGAAGGUUAAUCUGGACAGACAUCAAAUAGGGGCAGAGUUGAGGACUGGAGCCAUACUGGUAUACAAUCUCAAGUUUCCUGACACUGAGGUUAAAAGUUUCUU